GCCAGCACACAGAGCUGUGCACCUGUGCCCUGGUCUAUGUGAGUACCUGACAUAGCCACACAAUCUUCCAAAGCAACCGGGCCCCAUGACACCCCUGCUCCAAACCCUCUCUCAGCCUCUUUUGCUUUCCCCUGGCCACACAGUUCCUGUGAUAGGCCCUGAACUCAUGUCACCCAUGUCCUGCAUGCAGGUGACAGAACAUUUGGGUCAAGUCCCAGCCUCGGCAUCCCCUGACAGUACUCAGUGGCCUCUCUCUCCACACCCCUUUUCCUCAUCUCCAGACAGGGAAGGGAAAACUGCUGCUUGGGGUGAAAGAGAGCACAGCAGGACAGACAUCAUCCCCGACACAGGCUGUCGCCAGCUAUCCGUGCCUUCUCUACAACUGUGACCACCUAGGGGAGAAAGCAUUCCACAUCUCCCAACUUCAGCCACAGCCCGAUGAGCGAUGGAGGCCCUGGGCAGCAACAGAGUCGAAGAUGGAAAUUCCCAUUCAGAUGCCCAGAGGAAAAAAGAGACGGCGCCCUUUGCAUGUUAGAGAAGACUAGACGAGAAGACACCUCCCUCCAGCAAAGAGGAAAAGCAACCCAGCUCCUCUCAGUUUACCCGAAACCUCUCCCUAUUUUCAGUUUCGAUUCGAUGUGUCAGAAGCUGACAUUUUUGCGAGCACCAAGAACCCGGCAUCACUUUGAAAACUUGCAAGUGGAGAGGCGUCCCGAGGUAGCCAAGACUCGCUCUGCGCACAGAUGGUGGUGAUUAGGUGCCAGUUCGCAGAAAAGCUUGGAAUCUGCAGACGGCGGCGGCGGCGGAGGGCAGCUGGCUGCGGGGCUACAGGCAAUUGGGAUGAGCUGUCCGGCAGCAGGGUCCCCCCAGGCCCGGUCCACAUCCCUCGGCACAAGCGAUGGCCAUGGAGGGGAGGCCACCUGAGGGAUCAUGUCAGGGGCAGAACCGUCUCCAGCUUGCCCUUGGCUCAUGCAGGAGCUGAGGUCCCACGUGGUCCCAGCCCAUGUUUGCCACCGUCUAGCCGUGUGUCUAGGGCUUCACAAAGACUCGCACAGCUUCCUGGCAAAUGUUUGCUGACUGACUGACGACUGACUGAAUGAAUGAAUGAACGCAUGAAUGAACAGAAGAUUGAAUGAGCAAGCGUCAAACUUCCAAGAGUGCCGUGGAGAGGGAAUGGCCUGGAAUGGUUUCAGCGCCUUGCUUAGAAGCUCUGACUAGACGGGAGGAAUGCCCGUGAGUAGUCACUGCCUACGGCAGACAGGGCUCGCACCUCUCAAAGCGCUGACAUGGUGGUGGCAAUACUGUAGCUGGACCCUGCCAGAUCGCUGGCCACAGACCACCUAUUGUUUGCCUCUGACUACGCAUUAAUGGAGUUGCUUCUGCUGAGUCAGACCUUGAGUCUGUCCACCUAGGCGAAGGCUUGCACGCGCCUUAACAUGUUAACACACAGAUACAAUGAGUGCCACGUUCACACAGACAGGAGGGUGGUAACACGCUUCUGAUUAUGGCUGAAUUUGCAAACAUGGCUGACUGAAUCCACGUGCCGUCAUCUGGCACGGGUUGUCCACGAUUUCCCUGGCUUCUCCUCUAGGUGCCAGCCUCCAAGAGGAGCUGCUAGAAUUUUCUUGGUAGAAGAAAGCUUUGAAGUCAUCACCCAACCUGCCCUGCUGCAAACGAGACAGCUAGAUUCCCGGAGAGAAGUGGCCAGGCUGGUCAGUGGUCUGUCUCAGUCCCCGGGUCUCCUGCCGCCCGGCUAGGGGCCUCGGCGAAGGUGCAGCCCAGAGGAUCAGCAGCAGUGGAGCGGUAUGCACCCGUGGGUUGGGAGCCCCAGGAAUCCUCUAGACAACAGACUGAUUUAGAGUGUUGCAGUGCGGUACUGGUAUCUGUGGUGAGUGUUAAGGACACGGAUAAGCUACGUUCCUGUAAUUUCCUCCUUAGGAACUGACCCCAAGAAAAUAAGCCAGAACUGUGGACAAAAGCUUGUGCCGCAAGGUGGCGAAAAAUGGCUCCGCCAAGAAGGUGCUUUCUGAGUAUGCCUGAAGACUUGAGUUUGGAUCCUUAGCGCCCGCGUAAAGAGCUGGAUUCCGUGGCACACCUCUGGAAUCUCCCUGGAAAUUGAUGCUGCAAUCUGGUGGCCUCAGUGGUGCUUUUGAGAGGUGACAAGGCUGUUGAAAGAGACGAAUGCCUUGGGCUGGUUGGUUUUUGUCAACUUGACACAGGCCAGAGUCCCCUGGGAAGAGGAACCCUCAGCCGAAGAACUGCCUCCACCAGAUUGCCCUGUGGGAGCAAAGACGGAGCUCCAGUCUAGCUUCCUCCAAGUGUGUGGGCUGAUGCACUGGUGCGGAAACCUCUUCUUACUUCACAACUGUUUGUAUCCAUCAGGGGCCCGCAGCUAUUUGUCAGAGGCUGUGACCAACAAUGGCUGUAUCAUGCUGGAAACGCCAAGGAUCCAGUAGUUGUUCAGUCCAUGAGACUGGAUGUCUCUGCAGACCUAACGAGAGACUGGAGCCCUCUAAGAUCCCUAGAGAGCUGCUCAUCUUCAGUCUACAUUGGAAUCCUGAAGAAGCUGGAUUUAAUACCAACCAAAGCAACAGGGUAGUGAACUUGCCAGAGUGAAAAUAAGCAGACCCCCAAACAAAGAUGUCCUUUUUUUUGGGCUGUCACCAGAAGGUGUGGCUCACAUGGAAAGUGGAUCUUCCUGCUUCAAAUAAGCUGAGGAAAAAAAUCCCUCACAGGAGUGCCUAGAAACUUGGGUUUCAGCUUAUUCCAGAUGCAGUCAAGUGAAUAACCAUGAUUCCCUGUCCCGUUCUCCACCUGGCUUGCUGAGGUAGGCUCUUUCAUUUUGACCUGGAACUUGUAGAUUAGGCAAGACUGACUGGCCGGCCAGCCAAUCCCAGGGAUCCUCCUAUCUCAGCUCCCCAGGGCUGGGAGUACGGUCACAGGCCACCACACUCAGCUUUUUAAUGUGGGUUCUGGGGACUGAACUCAGAUCCUUAUACCUGCAUGACAAGCAUUUUAUGGCCUGAGCCUUCCUCUGCCACCACACACCCCCCCCUUUUUGUGCUAGGAACAAUUCAUAAACCCAGGGGUGACGGGAGAAAGUUAGCUGUAGCACGAAUUUUAAUAGGUCUUAUUAAUAAAAACAAACCCGGAGCUAGGUACUUGGGGUGAAUGCUGGAAGAUCAGAG